AGAACGAACGCUGGCGGCAGGCCUAACACAUGCAAGUCGAACGCUCGUAGCAAUACGAGAGUGGCAGACGGGUGAGUAACGCGUGGGAACCUUCCCAGUGGUACGGAAUAGCUCAGGGAAACUUGAGGUAAUACCGUAUACGCCCCUCGGGGGAAAGAUUUAUCGCCAUUGGAUGGGCCCGCGUAGGAUUAGCUAGUUGGUGAGGUAACGGCUCACCAAGGCGACGAUCCUUAGCUGGUCUGAGAGGAUGAUCAGCCACACUGGGACUGAGACACGGCCCAGACUCCUACGGGAGGCAGCAGGUGGGGAAUAUUGGACAAGUGGGCGCAAGCCUGAUCCAGCCAUGCCGCGUGAGUGACGAGGCCGUUAGGUGUAAGCUGUUUGGGCGGGUAAGAUAUGACGGACCG
rnacentral:rRNA from 1 species